rnacentral:rRNA from 1 species
AUUGCCCUAGUAACGGCGAGUGAAGCGGCAACAGCUCAAAUUUGAAAUCUGGCCUCCGGGUCCGAAUUGUAAUUUGUAGAGGAUGCUUUUGGUGAGGUGCCUUCCGAGUUCCCUGGAACGGGACGCCAUAGAGGGUGAGAGCCCCGUCUGGUUGGACACCGAUCCUCUGUAAAGCUCCUUCGACGAGUCGAGUAGUUUGGGAAUGCUGCUCUAAAUGGGAGGUAUAUGUCUUCUAAAGCUAAAUAUUGGCCAGAGACCGAUAGCGCACAAGUAGAGUGAUCGAAAGAUGAAAAGCACUUUGAAAAGAGAGUUAAAAAGUACGUGAAAUUGUUGAAAGGGAAGCGCUCAUGACCAGACUUGGGCUUGGUUGAUCAUCCAGGGUUCUCCCUGGUGCACUCUUCCAGUUCAGGCCAGCAUCAGUUCGCUGUGGGGGAUAAAGGCUUCGGGAAUGUGGCUCCUUCGGGAGUGUUAUAGCCCGUUGUGUAAUACCCUGUGGUGGACUGAGGUUCGCGCAUUCGCAAGGAUGCUGGCGUAAUGGUCAUCAGCGACCCGUCUUGAAACACGGACCAAGGAGUCGUCUUCGUAUGCGAGUGUUCGGGUGUUAAACCCCUACGCGUAAUGAAAGUGAACGCAGGUGAGAGCUUCGGCGCAUCAUCGACCGAUCCUGAUGUUCUCGGAUGGAUUUGAGUAAGAGCAUACGGGGCCGGACCCGAAAGAAGGUGAACUAUGCCUGUAUAGGGUGAAGCCAGAGGAAACUCUGGUGGAGGCUCGCAGCGGUUCUGACGUGCAAAUCGAUCGUCAAAUAUGGGCAUGGGGGCGAAAGACUAAU